UUAACUAUUAUAUAGUACUCAGACGACAUUAAAAAACAAGAGUUGGGUUCUCUGGCGGGCACUCACCAGCCGGAGCCGGUGGCCGAAGCGGCCCGCCAAAGCAACAAAGGUAGAUAUAUCAAGGGUGGGAGAUCUACCCGUUAGGGCAUGAACUCUGUAAUGAUCCUUCCGCAGGUUCACCUACGGAAA
rnacentral:misc_RNA from 1 species